rnacentral:rRNA from 1 species
CCUACGGGGGGCAGCAGUGGGGAAUAUUGGACAAUGGGGGCAACCCUGAUCCAGCCAUGCCGCGUGUGUGAAGAAGGCCCUCGGGUUGUAAAGCACUUUCAGUGAGGAAGAACGCCUGGUGGUUAAUACCCAUCAGGAAAGACAUCACUCACAGAAGAAGCACCGGCUAACUCCGUGCCAGCAGCCGCGGUAAUACGGAGGGUGCGAGCGUUAAUGGGAAUUACUGGGCGUAAAGCGCGCGUAGGUGGCUUGAUAAGCCGGUUGUGAAAGCCCCGGGCUCAACCUGGGAACGGCAUCCGGAACUGUCAAGCUAGAGUGCAGGAGAGGAAGGUAGAAUUCCCGGUGUAGCGGUGAAAUGCGUAGAGAUCGGGAGGAAUACCAGUGGCGAAGGCGGCCUUCUGGACUGACACUGACACUGAGGUGCGAAAGCGUGGGUAGCAAACAGGAUUAGAUACCCUGGUAGUC